UACGGAGGGUGCAAACGUUGCUCGGAAUCAUUGGGCGUAAAGCGCACGUAGGCGGACCAUCGAGUCGGAUGUGAAAUCCCUCGGCUUAACCGAGGACGUGCAUUCGAAACUGAUGGCCUUGAGUACGAAAGAGGAUCGCGGAAUUCCCGGUGUAGAGGUGAAAUUCGUAGAUAUCGGGAGGAACACCAGUGGCGAAGGCGGCGAUCUGGGUCGAUACUGACGCUGAGGUGCGAAAGCGUGGGGAGCAAACAGG
rnacentral:rRNA from 1 species